rnacentral:rRNA from 1 species
GUAGCGAGACCCAUGCGAGAAACAUGGGCGUCGAAGGCCCAAGGUUUCCUGGGGAAGGUUCAUCCACCCAGGGUAAGUCGGGACCUAAGCCGAGGACUGAGGUCGUAGGCGAUGGACAGCAGGUAGAGAUUCCUGCACCACUUACACUUGUUUGACGAAGCAGUGACACAGAAGGAUAGGACGAGCGCGGUGAUGGUCAACCGCGUAGGCGGCACGAGGCCGGGAAGCAGUGAAGUACACUUCCCGCAAAGGCUGAGUGUUGACAGGACCGAAAAGAAGUAGGGAAGCGUCCGAGUUCACGCUGGCGAGAAAAGCUGCUAAGGAGAGUGUGAGUGCCCGUACCGGAAACCGACGCAGGUGGGCGAGGAGAGAAUCCUGAGACGGACGGGAGAACUCUUGUUAAGGAACUCGGCAAAAUGACCCCGUAACUUCGGGAGAAGGGGUGCCUCGAAAGAGGCCGCAGAGAAUAGUCACAAGCGACUGUUUAGCAAAAACACAGGUAUCUGCGAAAGCGAGAGCUGACGUAUAGGUGCUGACGCCUGCCCGGUGCUGGAAGGUUAAGGGGAAGUGUUAGGGGAAACCCGAAGCAGAGAACCGAAGCCCCAGUAAACGGCGGCCGUAACAAUAACGGUCCUAAGGUAGCGAAAUUCCUUGUCGGGUAAGUUCCGACCCGCACGAAUGGCGUAACGACUUGUGAGCUGUCUCAACAGGAGGCCCGGUGAAAUUGAAGUAUGUGAAGAUGCACAUUACCCGCGACUGGACGGAAAGACCCCGUAGAGCUUUACUGUAACCUGACAUUGGAUCUUGAUAACGGAUGCACAGGAUAGGUGGGACGCUGGGAGACGAGGACUUUGGUUUUCGUGGAGCGGCCGUUGGGAUACCACUCUUCUGUUAUUGAGAUUCUAACCUCAAGCCGUGUGCCGGAUGAGAGACAGUGUCAGGCGGACAGUUUGACUGGGGCGGUCGCCUCCGAAAGAGUAACGGAGGCGCCCAAAGGUACCCUCAGAAUGGAUGGAAACCAUUCGAAGAGAGCAAAGUCAGAAGGGUGCUUGACUGCGAGACCAACAAGUCGAGCAGGUACGAAAGUAGGGCUUAGUGAUCCGGCGGUAAGAGAGUGGAAUUGCCGUCGCUCAACGGAUAAAAGCUACCUCGGGGAUAACAGGCUGAUCUCCCCCAAGAGUUCACAUCGACGGGGAGGUUUGGCACCUCGAUGUCGGCUCGUCGCAUCCUGGGGCUGAAGCAGGUCCCAAGGGUUUGGCUGUUCGCCAAUUAAAGCGGCACGCGAGCUGGGUUCAGAACGUCGUGAGACAGUUCGGUCCCUAUCCAUCGUGGGCGAAGGACACAUGAGAGGAACUGCUCCUAGUACGAGAGGACCGGAGUGGACGCAUCACUGGUGCAACUGUUGUCGUGCCAACGGCACAGCAGGGAAGCGAAAUGCGGACGGGAUAAACGCUGAAGGCAUCUAAGCGUGAAGCCCACCUCAAGAAUAAGUGUCCCAUUCGAAAGAAGUAAGACCCCUGGAAGACUACCAGGUGAUAGGUCAUCGGUGAAAGAGUGGCAACACUUGGAGCUUGAUGAUACUAAUCGGUCGAGGACUUGAUCC